CCUACGGGAGGCAGCAGUGAGGAAUAUUGGUCAAUGGCCGUAAGCCUGAACCAGCCAAGUCGCGUGAAGGAAGAAGGAUCUAUGGUUUGUAAACUCCUUUUAUAGGGGGAUAAAGGUAUCCACGUGUGGAUUUUUGCAUGUACCCUAUGAAUAAGCAUCGGCUAACUCCGUGCCAGCAGCCGCGGUAAUACGGAGGAUGCGAGCGUUAUCCGGAUUUAUGGGGUUUAAAGGGUGCGAAGGUUGAUUUUUAAGGCAGCGGUGAAAGUUUGGGGCUCAACCGUAAAAUUGCAAUUGAUACUGGCAGCCUUGAGUACAGUUGAGGUAGGCGGAAUUCGUGGUGUAGCGGUGAAAUGCGUAGAUAUCACGAAGAACUCCGAUUGCGAAGGCAGCCUACUAAACUGCCACUGACAUUGAUGCACGAAAGUGUGGGGAUCAAACAGGAUUAGAUACCCUGGUAGUC
rnacentral:rRNA from 1 species